UUACCUACGGGGGGCAGCAGUGGGGAAUAUUGCACAAUGGGGGAAACCCUGAUGCAGCGACGCCGCGUGAGUGAAGAAGUAUCUCGGUACGUAAAGCUCUAUCAACAGGGAAGAAAAAAAGUCUUUGGCUUUGGACGGUACCUGACUAAGAAGCCCCGGCUAACUACGUGCCAGCAGCCGCGGUAAUACGUAUGGGGCAAGCGUUAUCCGGAUUUACUGGGUGUAAAGGGAGCGCAGGCGGCUUGGCAAGUCUGAUGUGAAAGGCUGGGGCUCAACCCCAGGACUGCAUUGGAAACUGUUAGGCU
rnacentral:rRNA from 1 species